ensembl:snRNA U2 U2 spliceosomal RNA
CUUGCUUCUCAGCCUUUUGGCUAAGAGCAAGUGUAGUAUCUGUUCUUCUCAGUUUAAUAUCUGAUACCUCCUCUGUCUGAGGACAAUACAUUAAAUGGAUUUGGGGAACUAGGAAAUGGAAUAGGAGCUUGCUCCUUCCACUCCGUGCAUUGACCUGGUAUUGCAGUACUUCCAGGAAUGGUGCAACCACC